UACGGAGGGAGCUAGCGUUGUUCGGAAUUACUGGGCGUAAAGCGCGCGUAGGCGGCUUUGUAAGUUAGAGGUGAAAGCCCGGGGCUCAACCCCGGAACUGCCUUUAAGACUGCAUCGCUUGAAUCCAGGAGAGGUGAGUGGAAUUCCGAGUGUAGAGGUGAAAUUCGUAGAUAUUCGGAAGAACACCAGUGGCGAAGGGACG
rnacentral:rRNA from 1 species